GAAGCCGGUGGAGUAACCAUUUGGAACUAGCCGUCGAAGGUGGGACAAAUGAUUGGGGUGAAGUCGUAACAAGGUAGCCGUAUCGGAAGGUGCGGCUGGAUCACCUCCUUU
rnacentral:rRNA from 1 species